rnacentral:lncRNA from 1 species
ACCCAGGCCUUGCACCUGGAUCAAUGGGCUGCCCUAAUGAAGGAUAUCAAAAAUGAAGGGGCAGCUAAAGAAAAAUAAAAGACACCUCAGAAAGUAGCCUGCCUCUUUGACAAGGGACAUGCCUUCAGAGGAACAUAACAGAAACCUCUGAGAAUUGUCAACAAUAAAAAGACUGAGCAACAAGGGAAACUGGUAGGAAGCCAAAGGUUUUAAGAGGUGAGAGUGGAGAAAUGCUGUGCUUUUAUUGAUCCUCUCCAAAGGAACACCUUUAAAAAAGAUUCCUGCAUUCUCUCAGUGGGAAAGGCUACACCUGAACUCAGAUCCUCAGACUUGUGACUCUUUUCCCCAAGCAGAAGGGUGUGAAACUUCCCACAGGCUUCAAGUUCUCCAGAUGCUGGGCAGCUGAAUUUCACAGAAAUCUGAAAAUAGCUGCCAUCUAUACUCAGACUGUUUGGCACCCAAAUAGUUUGUCCCUCUAUGACCCCACUCCCAACUCAUAAGAUUGCUUUCAGGGGCCUCGUCUCUUGAAUAUAACCCUCCUACAUAUGGCCCUUUGCCCCAGAUUGCUUUUCUGUAAGAUGAUGAGAGGACAGGGGUCUGUACUCCCCUUCAUACUGGUUCCCACAUCCUAAGUUUUUUAAUAAAGCCUUUUCCUUAAUGUGUACCAAGUGAUGAAAACUUGACCUUUGCUACCUUGCAUAACAAUCCUCUAAGAACAUUUUAUAUACAAAGAACAAUUGGAGUCUAUGGUAAAGGGGUCUAUUCAGUAAUCACAUUGGCGUGAAAAGAAUAUAGAUUACUUCCUUGCCAUGACUUGCACUCAUUAUUCACAGAUUCCAUGGUUACAGAUUCACCAACCUGUUAAAAUUUAUUUGUAACCACCAAACCAAUACUCAAAGAUGUGUUCAUGGUUAUUCACGGACAUGCAGAGAAUAGCAAAACAUUGGAGUCCACUGACAUUCAUAUGCCCAGCUGAAGCAGAACAAAGAAACCCUCUGUUUCCCUGUUUCAGCUCUCAUACUGUAAACAAGUGUCCUUUCUGUGGUUUAUUUAGUGCCACACUUUUCACAUUGUUGUGAUUUUUGCUGGUGACUUUGCUAUUUACAAUAGUCCCCAAGCAUAGUGUUAGAUUGCUGUCUAAUGUUUCUAAGAGAAAGAAGGCUGUGAUGUGCCUUAUGGAGAAAAUAGAUGUGUCAGAUAAGCUUCAUUCAGGCAUAAGUUAUAGGACUGUUGGCCAUGAAUUCAGUGAUAAUGAAUCAGCAACACAGGACACCUACAAAAAGAAAUAGAAAAUUUGCUGAUCUGUUUAUGAAACCACUCUGGAAGUGUUAAAGUAAUAUCUACAGUGAAUGAUGAAAUUAUGAAAAAGAGGAAAAGUAAUUAAAUUUGUGGAUUCAUGAGAUGACAACCUAUUUUUAAAAAACAAAGUGGACAACACUGUUGUGAGUCUGAAAGCCAAAGAAAUUUAUGAUCAUAUUACCCAGAGUCAGGAAAGUGUUUAACCCUUCUUAGCUAGGUUGGCUGGCUCACAUGUUUUAAAAGGCAAUACAAAGUCAAAAAAGGCUAAGCUUGCAGACAAGGCGGGUUCCGCAGAUCAGGAAGGUGCAGAAGAAUUUUUAAAAUAACUGCUAAAUGUGAUACAAGUAGAGGGUUAUGUAGAAAAGCAGUUUUUCAAUGCUGAUUAGACUGGCUUGCUUUACAAGGACUCUGGCAAACAAAUCUAUAUAAUGCAAAUGGCAUUCCAGUUGGCAAAAAUAUUACGAUCAGAGGCUCAUAGGAACUUAACCUUACAUUUUCCCUAUGAGCAACAGUUCACUAUUUGCUAAUUCAAUUGUUUGUGAUGACUCUGUAGAACAUUACUGACUCAAAUAAAAAGAAUAAACUAUAUCAAAGUCAGUGUAGUAGAGAUGUGGUUUUCAUUUAAAUGCAUAGUUGCUAAAAUGGUUCUGCUGAGUUUAGCCUGUCUUUAUGGAAUAGGAGUAUUUCAUCAACCCUGAGAUCUUUUGUCUCCCUCUUGGCUAAUGGGUGUUUCUCAACCCUUUAACAUUCAAAGGGAGCUGGGCCUAUUGCUGCAAUACAGGCAGUUAGUAGUAGUAAGUACUUUACUGAGGAUAAGUAGAUGCCCUUAACUAGUGAAACAAUAU